CAGCCGCCGCGGUAAAACGAGGGGGGCAAGCGUUGUUCGGAAUUAUUGGGCGUAAAGGGCGCGUAGGCGGUUUGGCAAGUUUCGUGUGAAAUCUUCGGGCUCAACUCGAAGUCUGCACGGAAAACUGCCGGGCUUGAGUAUGGGAGAGGUGAGUGGAAUUUCCGGUGUAGCGGUGAAAUGCGUAGAUAUCGGAAGGAACACCUGUGGCGAAAGCGGCUCACUGGACCAUAACUGACGCUGAGGCGCGAAAGCUAGGGGAGCAAACAGGAUUAGAUACCCCAGUAGUCCCUGUCUCUUAUAC
rnacentral:rRNA from 1 species